rnacentral:rRNA from 1 species
GUGGCGCACGGGUGCGUAACGCGUAUGCAACCUACCUUAAUCAGGGGGAUAGCCCGAAGAAAUUCGGAUUAACACCGCAUAAAAACACAGAAUAGCAUUAUUCAAUGUUCAAAUAUUUAUAGGAUUAAGAUGGGCAUGCGUGUCAUUAGCUAGUUGGCGGGGUAACGGCCCACCAAGGCGACGAUGACUAGGGGAUCUGAGAGGAUGACCCCCCACACUGGUACUGAGACACGGACCAGACUCCUACGGGAGGCAGCAGUAAGGAAUAUUGGUCAAUGGAGGCAACCCUGAACCAGCCAUGCCGCGUGCAGGAAGACGGCCCUAUGGGUUGUAAACUGCUUUUAUCUGGGAAUAAACCUUUUUACGUGUAAGA